CAGCAGCCGCGGGAAUACGAAGGGGGCUAGCGUUGCUCGGAAUGACUGGGCGUAAAGGGCGCGUAGGCGGAUUGUUUAGUUAGGCGUGAAAUUCCUGGGCUUAACCUGGGGACUGCGCUUAAUACAGGCAGUCUAGAGUGAGGAAGAGGGUUGUGGAAUUCCCAGUGUAGAGGUGAAAUUCGUAGAUAUUGGGAAGAACACCGGUGGCGAAGGCGGCAACCUGGUCCUUGACUGACGCUGAGGCGCGAAAGCGUGGGGAGCAAACGGGAUUAGAGACCCGAGUAGUCCCUGUCUCUUAUAC
rnacentral:rRNA from 1 species